rnacentral:rRNA from 1 species
GGAAUUUUGGACAAUGGGCGAAAGUCUGAUCCAGCCAUUCCGCGUGCAGGACGAAGGCCUUCGGGUUGUAAACUGCUUUUGUACGGAACGAAAAAGCUCUUAUUAAUACUAGGAGUCCAUGACGGUACCGUAAGAAUAAGCACCGGCUAACUACGUGCCAGCAGCCGCGGUAAUACGUAGGGUGCAAGCGUUAAUCGGAAUUACUGGGCGUAAAGCGUGCGCAGGCGGUUAUAUAAGACAGAUGUGAAAUCCCCGGGCUCAACCUGGGAACUGCAUUUGUGACUGUAUAGCUAGAGUACGGCAGAGGGGGAUGGAAUUCCGCGUGUAGCAGUGAAAUGCGUAGAUAUGCGGAGGAACACCGAUGGCGAAGGCAAUCCCCUGGGCCUGUACUGACGCUCAUGCACGAAAGCGUGGGGAGCAAACAGGAUUAGAUACCCUGGUAGUCCACGCCCUAAACGAUGUCAACUGGUUGUUGGGUCUUCACUGACUCAGUAACGAAGCUAACGCGUGAAGUUGACCGCCUGGGGAGUACGGCCGCAAGGUUGAAACUCAAAUGAAUUGACGG